rnacentral:rRNA from 1 species
GAUCUCAAAUCAGGUAGGACUACCCGCUGAACUUAAGCAUAUCAAUAAGCGGAGGAAAAGAAACUAACAAGGAUUCCCCUAGUAACGGCGAGUGAAGCGGGAAGAGCUCAAAUUUAAAAUCUGGUUUGCUUUGCAAAUCCGAGUUGUAGUCUGAAGAAACGUUUUCCAUGAAAGCUGAGGCACAAGUCCUUUGGAACAGGGCAUCAUAGAGGGUGAGAAUCCCGUCCAUGGUCUCAAGCCUUUCAUUUUGUGAUACGUUUUCUAAGAGUCAGGUUGUUUGGGAAUGCAGCCUAAAAUGGGUGGUAAAUUUCAUCUAAAGCUAAAUAUUGGCGAGAGACCGAUAGCGAACAAGUACCGUGAGGGAAAGAUGAAAAGAACUUUGAAAAGAGAGUUAAAAAGUACGUGAAAUUGUUGAAAGGGAACCGU